CGCUCUAGUGGCCUAGUGGUUAGAGCGUCCGCCUUGAAUGGGGGAUGUCACGGGUACAAGCCCAGCCGAGUGA